UGGGGAAUCUUGCACAAUGGGGGCAACCCUGAUGCAGCGACGCCGCGUGAGCGAUGAAGCCCUUCGGGGCGUAAAGCUCUUUCGACCGGAACGAUAAUGACGGUACCGGGAGAAGAAGCUGCGGCUAACUACGUGCCAGCAGCCGCGGUAAUACGUAGGCAGCAAGCGUUGUUCGGAGUUACUGGGCGUAAAGAGCGCGUAGGCGGUUUUCUAAGUUCGGUGUGAAAUCUCCCGGCUUAACUGGGAGGGUGCGCCGAAGACUGGGAAGCUGGAGUGUGGGAAAGGCAGGCGGAAUUCCUGGUGUAGCGGUGAAAUGCGUAGAUAUCAGGAGGAACACCGGCGGUGUAGACGGCUUGCUAGACCAUAACUGACGCUGAGGCACGAAAGCGUGGGUAGCAAACA
rnacentral:rRNA from 1 species